UGCCAGACUCCUACGGGAGGCAGCAGUGGGGGAUAUUGCACAAUGGGGGGAACCCUGAUGCAGCGACGCCGCGUGAGUGAAGAAGGUUUUCGGAUCGUAAAACUCUGUUGGUAGAGAAGAACGUUGGUGAGAGUGGAAAGCUCAUCAAGUGACGGUAACUACCCAGAAAGGGACGGCUAACUACGUGCCAGCAGCCGCGGUAAUACGUAGGUCCCGAGCGUUGUCCGGAUUUAUUGGGCGUAAAGCGAGCGCAGGUGGUUUAUUAAGUCUGGUGUAAAAGGCAGUGGCUCAACCAUUGUAUGCAUUGGAAACUGGUAGACUUGAGUGCAGGAGAGGAGAGUGGAAUUCCAUGUGUAGCGGUGAAAUGCGUAGAUAUAUGGAGGAACACCGGUGGCGAAAGCGGCUCUCUGGCCUGUAACUGACACUGAGGCUCGAAAGCGUGGGGAGCAAACAGGAUUAGAUACCCGGGUAC
rnacentral:rRNA from 1 species